CAAAAACGAUCAGAACAUUAGUACAACAAAAAAUUCGAGGCAUAUAGAUUAGUCUUCACACACCAAUUCCAUAAAGCAAAUCCACGAUUUCUUAACAGAAAAAAAAUGUGAAAAAAGAAUUAUAUGCCAAAUUGCCAAUGGCAGAACCGAAAACCUAAAAUUAAACCGACAUUUUUUCUCGGUAAAAAUGGAGACUUCUCUAUAGCGCGCUCUAUCUCUCUCUCUCUCUCUCUCUCUCUCUCUCUCUCCCUCCUCCGGCAGCUGCAUUGCUUCCGCCGUCUCACUCUCAAUUGCCGCCGGAAUUAAUGUUUCCUGCUUCUGCUUCUACUUCUGCUCCGCCGCAGGGUGAGGCUCAAGACCUCCCUCAGGCUUCUUCUGCUCCUGCAGGUGAAGAACCAAAUAAUAGCUUAAUCCAGUAUUGCCGGAACAUAGGCUUACCAAUGCCAGUGCUUCAUGUUGUAAACGAAGACGAAGUGUCUUCUCAUGCCCCGAGAUUCAGGUGUUCUGUUUGGGUGCUUUGGAAAAAAUUUGCUUCCCAAUACAUUCCUACAACAGAGAGCUGCCGAGCAAGAUGUUGCUAAGCUCGCGUUAGAACAGCUACAGCCUAUGAACAAUGCUACUGUGAAUAAAGCUGCAUUGUCUACCGAUCUCUGCAAGAUUCAAUUUUAGGGUUUAUAUAGGGAUGGCGCCUCGCAUCCCAUAGGGGCACCUAGGGUCGCCUCUGAACUUUGCUUUGCCCCCAGGUCUGGAAAAGCGUCAUCAUCUCGCUUGAGCGACUUUGUAAAACCCGCAAGUGGCUGCCGUAGAACAAAACAAGUCCAGAGUUAUGGCCAAUAAUAACAUGCCAGAAGUGGCGCAUUUAGAGGCUAGGCUAAGACUGAAGGUCAAGGCGGUUCUCGAGUCCUGGCUGAUCAGCAAGGCGAUUCUGGAGCUUUGUGCAAUGAGACUACACCAGAGAUGGUCAAUUCACAGGCUAAGAUGCAUCAUGCAGGAGAGAGCUGGUCAUGGAUCCUGGCCUGUAAGCAAGACUGUUUCCGAGUCUUGACUGAUAAGCGAGGUGACUCUGGAGUAUUGGGCAAUGAGAAAACUCAAGGGAUGAUGAAUCCACAGGCUAGACCAAAGGAGCAAGUUGGUCAUGGAGUCCUUUCCCAUAAGCAACGCGGUUUGAGUGUCCUUGCUGCCAAGACACUGAACCAAACCAGGCAAACAAGAUAUGUCAGGUCUGUUUCAUGUCUUGAGGUCCUCUAUGAAGCGACAAUGAUGUAGAAAGUACAAGGCAAACAAGAGAUCGCAGCAAACGGAGAGCAACUAUUUCCAGAGUCAAUCAUGGUCAAUAGUAUGCCAGAAUCAAUGAAUUCCGAGUCUAAGACUGAAGAGCGAGGAGAUUCUGGAGCAGUGGGCAAUUGGGACUACUCCAUAUGUGGUGAUGAAUUCACAGGGUAAGACGCAGGAGCAAGCUGGUGAUGGAGUCAUGGCCCGUGUGAACAUGGAGUGAUUGGCUCAUGGACUGACGCUUAUGAGGAGAAAAGGCUCUGGCAAGAGUUUCAAAGCAAUGGCGAUUCUGGAGCAUCGGGCAAUGGGAAUACACCAUGCUGGCACGUCAGCAAACCUUCUUCUCUCAAAGGGUUUAGGGUAUAAACCCUAAACGCCGAACUCACCCCGUUCUCGUUCUGACCCCGUCUUUGCCCUAUCGAUUCUUGAUUGCAAAGCUUUCGCCUAACCUUUUCUGCCUUUUCACGAUUUCGCAGGACGGUAUCAGUAUGUGUGGUUUCACCCAUUUCGGUUUAGGGUUUUCAGAUAUGUAAAGGUGAAAGUACGUAUUUUGCUUGAGAAAUUGAACUUCGAUCUUGUUUUCUUGUUUUUAACGCUAAUUUUUGUUUUUUUUUUUUGUUUUCGAUCGAUAGAAUUGUCCGAACCCGAAGUUGUUUAUAAUAUAGAAUCCCAAAAGUCGGUUAUAUUA